rnacentral:tRNA from 1 species
GUUUAAGUGGCAGAACCCGGUAAAUGCAAAAGACCUAAGCCCUUUCUAUUUAAAGGUUCAAAUCCUUUCUUAAACU